GAAAUGCGAUAAUUAGUGUGAAUUGCAGAUACCGUGAAUCAUCAAGUCUUUGAACGCAUAUUGCACUGUCUGGAACUCCGGGCAGUAUACCUGUUUGAGUAUCAGUAAACACUCCUUCUAAAUCUCCUUUUUAUAGGGCUUAGUAGGGAUUUGAGCCAUCAUUUGCUACUACUGUAGCGGGUGUGGCUUUAAAUGUAGUCACUAGCAGGUUAUUUUCCUACAUAACUAGUUGACAGAGUAAAUAGGCAUUUCGCCUGUCACUGUCUUACCUAGGAAUGCAAGGUGAUGGCUUUGACUAGUUUCAAACACUCUACAGUAAUUUAUUACUGUGACUUUGAUCUCAAAUCAGGUAAGAUUACCCGCUGAACUUAA
rnacentral:misc_RNA from 1 species